UACCUGCUGACGAUGAAAUUUUUUGGAUCUCGUAGAUCUACUACUUGCACCUGAGUUUACCUUGCACCUGAUUGCACCUGAGUUUACUGAGGAUGAAGCUGUCACCCUAGCUUCAAUGAUAGCGGAUCAUCACAAUGAAUUCAAGCAUCUGUAUCCACGCUUCCAUCACACCCAAACCCAAAUUGCCAAGGUUAAUUCUUCAUGCUACAGUGACAAAGAGGAGAAUACUGUAACGACCCCAUGGUGAGCGACGAUGGUAUGGACCGCAUGAGGAAGAGGGGUAUUCACAACAGUCAAUUUAAAUGGUGACGGGAUCACGAGAGCGACCUCGUGCGAGAAACUAUCUUUCACCAGACACAUCUUUUCACCAGACACAUCCUCUUUCUCACCCCCUCCACAUUCAGCUAGUUCAACAGCUAGUUCAAGCUGUCAGUGACCCAGUG